AACAUGCUCAACCCUAACUGCCAAUUUGGUUGUGGUAUUUCCUGGUGCAGUUUUAUGUGGUGAUUAUUGCAAACAGGACUUGUAGCUUCUGUCUGCAUUGGAAUAGAAACGGUCAGAUGGGUGUGUAACUGCAAUUCCAGGGAACUACGCUUUCCAGAAGAGGGUAGAGGGUUUCCUUGGUAAACCAGCGACAUGUACUUACGUGUGUGAUUGUUUGCAGGUGAUGACAGAUGUUGUUGGGAAUCCUGAGGAGGAAAGGAGGGCAGAGUUUUACCAUGAGCCCUGGUCCCAGAAGGCUGUUAGUCGAUACUUCUAUUGCAAGAUCCAACAGCGGAGGCAAGAGCUGGAGCAGGCCCUGGCGGUGCGCAACACUUAAACUCUUCCCCAGUCACAUGCCCGUUUGCGACUUUCCGCCUUAUAAUUUAGUUCCUGACAGACACACACCCUUCUUGUUUUCUUAUCAGAUAUUUUUGUUUGUUCUAAUUUAAUUUAGUGACCUGCUGUGACCUAUGGCUAAUGACCAAUCUUUGUGUGCCCUAUGUUGUUGGCCCACUUUUCUACCCCAUUGAAGUCAAACUCUGACACCCUCUCAUCCCCCUCAAACACAUUCACACUCGUGUACAUACAGACACACACAGCUGAUUACAGCUUGGUGUGGCCGUCGCUUUCCAUAACCUGAGGAUCACUGGGCAGUUGGCCUUUUCUGAUUCCUUUCAUUGUCUCUUCCUGUAGCGUGUCUGAAUUUUUAGCAUCGUCAACUUGCAGCUCCAGCCAAAAAGACCAUUCGACCUGAUGCCUGGAUAUUCUGUACAGAUUUACAAAGACUGCCCGGGUGCAUGUAUACUGUUUUUGAAUCUCGUCUCAUAGCAUGCGGUUGCAUUCUCUCCGACUGGACUCUGAACUGCAGCUGUGCAAGGGGGGAUGUACUAGGGACAGUUUUGAGCCUGUUUUUGUCACUGUCCUUUCAGUAUCAGUGUCCUUACAAUGAAAUCUUCCAUUGGCUCUGAGUGUGAGCCCACAGUGUCAGUGUUCAACAAAUUCCAUGUCCCAGUCUCUGUGACAAGCCUUCAGUGCUAGCAGUGAGACCCUACCGUUAUAUAUACGCAUAUUGCCUGUGUUAAAACCCUGUUGCGUCUUUGAAAAAAUUUUCGCUAUUGUUUUACACCUGCACUCACACUGAUUGCCCCGAGAGGCUUGACUAUGAGGAAAUAAGGUGUUUAUGAAGAGUCGGGGAAAGGAUAUUGAUCGUUGACUUUGAUUUGUGCUCAUUGUCACGAAUGGCAAAUAGUUUCCUAUGGCACAUGUAGGCAUAUUUAUCGAGGAUCAAGAUGUAGGAGAUGCUUUUGUUGUAAUAACAGAUUCAGACAUUGGUGCUGAGCCUUGGAAUGUACAUCCACUAGAAGACCAACCUGAACUGGUCCGUAGAUGUAGGGCAACUUUCAUGUGGCCGUGGGUAUAUUAAAGUACACAAGUGUAAAAUGCUGUAUCAUAACCAGAAGGUGGAGCCUGUGAGCCUGUACAGCUUGCAUCUGAAGCAGCCUGUUCCCCGUGUAUCAGUGUUUCUGGCAAGAACUAGUGCUGUAAUUAAAGUCAGCGGCAACAAUUUUACAUUCACAGAAGCCGAGUAAACAAGAUUCAAGUCAACCCUUUGUUUUUCAAUCACAACUUCAAGAUCACUGCGAAAUUAAAUGAGAUGUCUCAAACUGUAUUUAUCACAGCUGGAGAUCAAAGAAAAUGACCUGUGGAUUUAAAAUUUUAUGCCUUAAAAUCCCUUAUCCAUGCAAAACAAAACUGAAGUUAUUUCCACUGGCCAGCAUUUUUUUCCAUAGGAACACUUUCUGACAGAUUCCAAACUGCUACAUAAUGUUCCCUCAGUGUAGCUAUGCUGCUGUUGCUGAUGGUACCGGGAAAUGUUACACAUUUGACAGGUUGCUGUACAUUUGGUACUCGUAGGGAAACAGAUGAGUCAAGUUUCAGAAUGAUUUCAGGUAUUUUAUUUAUUUGAUGGAUGUAAAAUGUUUUGUUGCUGAGGGAACAUGGCAUUCACUUAUGAAAAGGUCAUUCUUGAGAACUGUGUUUUAAUUAUCAGUAUUCAUAAUUUUUUUAAUCAUUCAGAAUUCAGUCAUUGUAGAUUUAAAAAAAAAAUGUUGCUAGCAUAUUAAGGGCAAAGUAUACAUCAGCUUUAUGAAACAAAAACAAAUUCAAAAUGACUGUAAAGAAAGGGCCAUGUUUUUCAUAGUGUUAUGAUUGUUAACCUGUUGUUGACUUUUAAGAUACAUUUGCAGUGUUUAUAAGGAUGGUGUUUAAUUUAGGUUGUUAUGAAGGAAAAAAGGUAAUUGUGGCUGUAGGCAUGUCCACAAUAAUUGUUGCCUUAGCAACACAACAGAAGGACAUGGGCACUGUACAGUGGAACCUGUACUGCCACAUCAAACGUGCAUAUGAUGUAAACCAUCUGGGUAUAGGAGUAAGAAUGUUUUCAUAAGUAAUGCAAAUUAAGUUGUGCCCUUCUUGGUGGUUUGAGAAGGAGGAUGGUUCUGCAGUGUGUUUGGGUGUGCUUGAAAUGUUUUCACUUGUCUCCAGGGCAGGGCAGUGUAUUGCUUCAGUAGGACUUUUGUAAUGGGAAUGCAGAUUAAUUGGUGCUGCUGUUUAUGUUGAAACACUGAACUAGGUGUGAACAUUACCCAGAAGGUAACAGAAACUCAGCAGCUUGGGCUGAGGAUGGGCCAGAGCAAAAUGAGUGACGGUGCAAAGAACCGGCCCUGUAGCAUAUCUGCUUCUUGACAACCAUUGCACAAAAUUACAUUCCUCCAGAGCACCCAGAUGGGCAUGACAGCUCUGCAUGGUCCUGAUACUGGACUCUAUAGAAACUGGACUCACAGGCAGUGUGCUGAAGCAAAACACUACCCCCCACAGCUCCCAGCUGGUUCUUAUAUAUAUAUUAUUUAAAUGUAACUGAACACCCCUUCCUUAACAAUUUACAUUGUAAAGGAUUUUUAAUUCCCUCAGCACUCUCCCAUCCAACAAACUAAGAAUCAGUUACGAAGUACGAUGAAUUUAAAAAAGAAAGACAACGAUGCGUUUGUUUCCAACAUUGGGGAAUGUGUUUAUUUUCUCCUGAAACAUUGUCUCCUGGUCACCAUAGGUGUAGGCCCACAUUUGCCUUUUGCUUUAGUUUAGUGUGGUUUAUACUUGUGCCCUGAAAUGUAAGAGAGGAGGUGCCUUGACUGGAGCUGGUGCCUGUUUGGAUAAUAUAGCUGUCUCUGUGCUGUUUUCAUGUCAUGGCACCAUGUAAGUGUAUUUGGUUUUUUAAGACUUUUAAAAUGCCUGAGAAGUGUAGAAUUUUUAAGAAUUCCACUGCCGCAAACAGGACAAGGGAUUAAAAAGACACCUAUGCAUGCAGCAUGGACACAUUUUAUACUUUUUGAAACUAAAUUAUCUUUUAACCAUGAGGAAAUAGUAAUGAAGAACAUUUGAUUGCACUGAGCACCCAUUGUGAAGUAAUCUGCCUGUCUCUGCAAGUUGAAGCAAGCUGGGAGGGUUAGUGGAUUGGCUUAUUCAUAAACUAUGCCACAUACAUAACACUAAAAUAACUGUUUUUAAAUUAUCUUGCUGAUGUACAGAUCAAGUUCGCUAAAUAUUUUUAUUAACAAUCAACCAGUGGCUAGAAGUAUCUGCCUGGCAAUGUGGUCUAUGUUGCACUGACAAGGGGCCUCUUGCUGUACACCACUGUGUUCACAGGGGUCCUGUGGGGAACUAAAUCAUAAGGGAACCUUAAUUUCAGCCCCAGUCCAUAAGGGCUGGCAUUGGCUGUAAGCACUAUAACCCUGGGGUCAGGUGAUUCCCUCCUCCCCUGCCACACAUACACCUUUUAAUCGAGAUACAGAACUUUGCCCUGUAUAGCAAUAUCUCUUGUAUGUUGGCAGGGGGGACACUCCAGAUCUUCCCCGGCAUUAUACUGCUAGUGUUGUUGCAAACCACUGCCAGCGCCUUGACUUCUAGUCAGUAAUUAAAAACGAACUCCCCCCACUUGGGACAAGAGGAAGAACUGCUGUGACUUUCAGAGACAGUGCGGAUGUAAGUAAAGGGAGCGUUUGCCAAAGUUUGUACUUAGUCCCAGGGCCGUGCCCUUUUGUCAGGGUAAUAAAAAUUUCAGAUGUCAGUCAAGCAUUUGAAGCAGUUUAUGUGGCUGUUAUGUGGCUCCUGUUUCUGACAUGUGCCUGGUUAUACAAUGGUGUGUUUAAAAGCCUAGUCUAAUUGUUUGUUUGUUUUUUGUUUUUACCAAAAAAGACCUUAUUUGACAGGAUGGCUUCUGUUGUUGUCUACCGACUGGUGUACAUUUGAAUCAGUGUUACUUUUUGUUCAGUCACAGAUUCAGUUGUCCUCUUUGGCUUCACCUAUGCUCCCUCAAGGAUAUGGAUCCAGGGAGGUACCAAAUAAAUUAAAAAUAAGCAUGCAUGUAUGGUUAAAUAAUGUUCAUUUGCUUCUAAAGCAAAUACAGAUAAAUCACUGUUUUGACAGUGGAAUUGGCUAUAUUGCCAGUUUUGUCAUGUGAGGUGGGGAGAGGCGCAAGCCUGGAACCUGUGGCAGGAGGGGGUCACAUAAAGAAGAAAACCUGAACUGUGACACCACCAGGGAACACAUACAAUUCCCAAAAAUUAAGGAAUCAGCCAGAACCAGGAUUAGGCUAUGGAAAGACAUAUUACCAGUUGACCAAAAUAGACAACCAUCUUUCUGAUCCAAAGGGCUCAAUGUCCUUAUAUUGAGGGCCCAGGAAUGAUUUGUUCUGUCUGCAUGACAGGAAAAAGCUGUUCAAUAACUGAACAUGCAUAACAUUGUUUUACCUAUGUUGACAUGGUAAGACAGUACUGCAUGUUGUACUCCUCUUUGUGUGGUAGAUUAACUGUAGCUCUGCUGGAAAUGAGGGCAUUGGAUAAAACAUAUGCAGUUUACUGUUUUAGUCCCACAGCAAAGUCAACAGCGGCCGAUGAAGACUGAAAUUUGAACAAAAGCCUUUGCAGUAUUAGAAACAAUAGUUUGCAUUGUUCUAGUAGGGGAAACAUUCUUUUCCAUUUAUUUGUUCAGUUCUGUUUUGACUCGAUUGGAGGUGUACUGCCAAUGUCCUGCUGGUUGUAAAAAAACAUUCAAUAAAACAUUUGUAGUGA